rnacentral:rRNA from 1 species
GAUGAACGCUGGCGGCGUGCCUAAUACAUGCAAGUCGAGCGAACGGACGAGAAGCUUGCUUCUCUGAUGUUAGCGGCGGACGGGUGAGUAACACGUGGAUAACCUACCUAUAAGACUGGGAUAACUUCGGGAAACCGGAGCUAAUACCGGAUAAUAUUUUGAACCGCAUGGUUCAAAAGUGAAAGACGGUCUUGCUGUCACUUAUAGAUGGAUCCGCGCUGCAUUAGCUAGUUGGUAAGGUAACGGCUUACCAAGGCAACGAUGCAUAGCCGACCUGAGAGGGUGAUCGGCCACACUGGAAUUGAGACACGGUCCAGACUCCUACGGGAGGCAGCAGUAGGGAAUCUUCCGCAAUGGGCGAAAGCCUGACGGAGCAACGCCGCGUGAGUGAUGAAGGUCUUCGGAUCGUAAAACUCUGUUAUUAGGGAAGAACAUAUGUGUAAGUAACUGUGCACAUCUUGACGGUACCUAAUCAGAAAGCCACGGCUAACUACGUGCCAGCAGCCGCGGUAAUACGUAGGUGGCAAGCGUUAUCCGGAAUUAUUGGGCGUAAAGCGCGCGUAGGCGGUUUUUUAAGUCUGAUGUGAAAGCCCACGGCUCAACCGUGGAGGGUCAUUGGAAACUGGAAAACUUGAGUGCAGAAGAGGAAAGUGGAAUUCCAUGUGUAGCGGUGAAAUGCGCAGAGAUAUGGAGGAACACCAGUGGCGAAGGCGACUUUCUGGUCUGUAACUGACGCUGAUGUGCGAAAGCGUGGGGAUCAAACAGGAUUAGAUACCCUGGUAGUCCACGCCGUAAACGAUGAGUGCUAAGUGUUAGGGGGUUUCCGCCCCUUAGUGCUGCAGCUAACGCAUUAAGCACUCCGCCUGGGGAGUACGACCGCAAGGUUGAAACUCAAAGGAAUUGACGGGGACCCGCACAAGCGGUGGAGCAUGUGGUUUAAUUCGAAGCAACGCGAAGAACCUUACCAAAUCUUGACAUCCUUUGACAACUCUAGAGAUAGAGCUUUCCCCUUCGGGGGACAAAGUGACAGGUGGUGCAUGGUUGUCGUCAGCUCGUGUCGUGAGAUGUUGGGUUAAGUCCCGCAACGAGCGCAACCCUUAAGCUUAGUUGCCAUCAUUAAGUUGGGCACUCUAAGUUGACUGCCGGUGACAAACCGGAGGAAGGUGGGGAUGACGUCAAAUCAUCAUGCCCCUUAUGAUUUGGGCUACACACGUGCUACAAUGGACAAUACAAAGGGCAGCGAAACCGCGAGGUCAAGCAAAUCCCAUAAAGUUGUUCUCAGUUCGGAUUGUAGUCUGCAACUCGACUACAUGAAGCUGGAAUCGCUAGUAAUCGUAGAUCAGCAUGCUACGGUGAAUACGUUCCCGGGUCU